rnacentral:rRNA from 1 species
UAGGGAAUUUUGCGCAAUGGGCGAGAGCCUGACGCAGCAACGCCGCGUACGUGAAGACGCCCUUCGGGGUGUAAAGCGUUGUCAGGAGGGACGAAGGGUUCGAGGUGAAGAGCUUCGGGCGAUGACGGUACCUCUGGAGGAAGCCCCGGCUAACUCCGUGCCAGCAGCCGCGGUAAGACGGAGGGGGCGAGCGUUGUUCGGAAUGAUUGGGCGUAAAGCGCCCGUAGGCGGUUGUUCAAGUGGUUCGUGAAAGCCCUCGGCUUAACCGGGGAAGGGCGAGCCAAACUGGACGACUCGAGUGCCGGAGGGGGAGGCGGAAUUCCUGGUGGAGCGGUGAAAUGCGUAGAGAUCAGGAAGAACGUCGGUGGCGAAGGCGGCCUCCUGGACGGACACUGACGCUGAGGGGCGACAGCGUGGGGAGCGAACGGG